rnacentral:lncRNA from 1 species
UAACGCGUGCACGCAUAGGAAAUCCCGUGAAAAAACGGGCCAGCCUAUUGAAUUCAAAUGCCCUUCCAAGUUAUUCGUUCUGGCGCAGUGUCUGCCCCAGUAAACACCAAGCAAGCAAACACAGUUAUCAAGUUUCCUAUAUUGGACAUGACUGUGAGGACAUCCCAGAGUACCUUGGAGAAAGAUAUGGACUCUUGACAAGACGGCUAGAUCUCAGCUUCAAUCAGCUAAGCAGAGAAUCCCCUCCUGGAUCAAGAUCCUUGCUGUCGAAUAUUUGUUUUGUAUGUGCAACAAACUGUGAGUAGCAUUUUUUUUGUUAUUUGCAUAACUUUAUGAGCUGGGAUGUCA